GAUGAAGAACGUAGCGAAAUGCGAUAAGUAAUGUGAAUUGCAGAAUUCAGUGAAUCAUCGAAUCUUUGAACGCACAUUGCGCCCCUUGGUAUUCCGGGGGGCAUGCCUGUUCGAGCGUCAUUAUAACCCUCAAGCCUAGCUUGGUGUUGGAGCAUGCUACCUAAGCAGCUCUUAAAAUCAGUGGCAGUGCCCUUCGGCUCUAAGCGUAGUAACUUCUCUCGCUAUGGAACCCGGAGGGUACGCGCCAGAACCCCCAACUUUCUAUGGUUGACCUCGGAUCAGGUAGGGAUACCCGCUGAACUUAAGCAUAUCAAAAGCGGAGGA
rnacentral:misc_RNA from 1 species